rnacentral:rRNA from 1 species
GNAUUAAUGCUGGCGGCGUGCCUAAUACAUGCAAGUCGAGCGGUAACAGGGGGUCUCACCGUUUCCUUGACACACCUAGCGCUAUGAUCGUAGGUUGUGCAAAUCUCGAGGGAACAGUGAGACCCUGCUGACGAGCGGCGGACGGCUGAGUAACGCGUGGGAACGGACCCCAAACUGAGGGAUAACUACUCGAAAGAGUGGCUAAUACCGCAUGUGAUCUUCGGAUUAAAGUCUUCGGACGGUUUGGGACUGGCCUGCGUACGAUUAGAUAGUUGGUGAGGCAAUGGCUCACCAAGUCGACGAUCGUUAGAUGGUUUGAGAAGAUGAUCAUCCAGACUGGGACUGAGACACGGCCCAGACUCCUACGGGAGGCAGCAGUAGGGAAUCUUUCACAAUGGGCGAAAGCCUGAUGGAGCAACGCCGCGUGCAGGAUGACGGCCUUCGGGUUGUAAACUGCUUUUAUAACCGAGAAAUAUGAUGGUAAGUUAUGAAUAAGGACCGGCUAACUACGUGCCAGCAGCCGCGGUCAUACGUAGGGUCCAAGCAUUAUCCGGAUUGACUGGGUGUAAAGAGUUGCGUAGGUGGCAGGGUAAGUAGAUAGUGAAAUCUGGUGGCUCAACCAUUCAGACUAUUAUCUAAACUGCUCGCUCGAGAGCGUUAGGGUAGCUGAAUUCUAGUGUAGAUGAAUCGUAAUAUAGAAGACACGAUGCGUAGCAGGCUACUGGACGUUCUGACCUAGCACGAAGCGUGGGAAGCAACGGAUAGAUCCCCGGUAGUCCC